ACUUCCUCACCCUUUCCACUUCUCAAUUAAAUUUGAGUUCUCACGCCCAGGCACAACACAAAACCCACCUAAAUUAGCUCUCUUGGCCUCCCUCUACACUUAUUUAAAAGGGGAAUAUCAAUGCUUUCUAUGGAGCUUCGGGGUCACACAAGACCAUUAUUGGUUAUUCAGGGGAGUUGAGUACUGCUUACACCCUCAAGUAUUUGGAACAGGCUAGAUGUGCAAAGUGCCUUCAUGUCAACAUCUCUCAUAUUCCUCAUAAGUUAAAUUGGAAAGCAUGUAGAAUUUUUUUGGAAUGCAACCAAGAGAGGUGACCAGGUUCUUGCUUCUAUUAGAAUUUGUAGUUCUUAUCCGCAAAGUUUAGGGCACUAUAAUCUAUUCAAAUACUCCUCAAGAGCUUAAGCAAACAACAAUCUUAUCUAGAUAAAUCUCUCAAUGAUCAUGUGGAGCAAAAAACAAUUUACAUUUUGCCAAUAGGCGAAGGAAGAUCACAUGUUGGAUUGAAUUGGAGAGAAGUAACUGGCAAAUUUGUGUC